CAAAACUUUAUCUCAAGAGAAAAGGCUCUUCUCAUCCAACAACACUUCUUCCCCUCCCUCCAAAAGAAAAUGAAAGACUUGAACUCGAAAUUGGAGAUGGAGAACUUCCUAAUCAUGCAACAAAAUGAGAAGUUGAAGAAGAUGACUGAGUUUUUCAGCCAAGAGAAUCAGGCUCUUCACAACGAGCUCAACCACCUCCUCGCUGUCGCUGCUGCAGCCGGAAUCCCCAUCCCUCAUGAUCUCAAUAGGCACACCACCUCCACCUCCACCUCCGCCGCCUCCACCACCAGCUCCUCAAAGUCCAACAACAAAUCCAACAACUGAGAAGAAGGCCACACCAAUAUAUGUUUUCCUUUUGUCUCGAUUAGAUUUCUGUCGAAAGUGAAUAAAAGGGUCUCAACUCUUAGUUGUUUCCUUAUGUUGUUGUUGUUGUUGUUUGUCAAUUGGAUUAUAAUUGGAAAUGAAUAUUUAGUUUUAUUAAUAAUAAUUAUAUAUUGUCUCUCAA